GGAUCAUGAAUUGACCUCUUUGGAUACUUUGUGUUUCAGGAAGUAAUGGGUCUUAGUAGGAAAGCAGAACUUGCCAGGGAGAGAUAUCUCUCUUGAAUUGCCGAUGAAAAUCGAUUGCAUCAUCUUAAGACUAAAAGCGAUUACAGUACGCCCUCUCGUGAUUAUGAAUCACUGUCUGAACCUUCUUUGGAACGACAAAGAGCAACAUUUGAAAAAUGGGAAAUUGUAUUAAUGGCGGAGGUUCGUGAUUUGCGUCGUAAGAUGGCCGAACGGUUCACUAAACCAUCUAAACUUUCUUAUGAAGAUGUAGUGGAGGUAUCUUAGAGUGUUAUCUCUGUAGUGGAGUCAUUAUAAUGUUUUAUCUCUGUAGUGGAGUUAUCUUAAUGAGUUAGUUCAUAUCUUGGAGAUAUCUUGGAGUGUUAUCUUAUAUCUUGGAGAUAUCUUGAAGUGUUAUCUUAUAUCUUGGAGGUAUAUCUUGAAGUGUUAUCUCAUGUCGUAGAGAUAUCUUAAAGUGUUAUCUCGCAGAAAAAUCGUAAUGUGUUAUCACACAUAUCUUGGACUUGAAGGUAUCUUAAAGAGUUAUUAUAAGUGAAAUUUCCCUUACAUAUAACCUCGAUAAGGUAGGAUUAAUUUUCUUGGAUAAAUAUUUCAGCUGCCACCAUUCGUGUGUACUGUCUAACAAGACAACAGAACAAUGCGUCGUCCCAAACUCUCUCCAAAAACAAACACCUCCCCCCCCGCCUUAUCAAUGGCAUAUUAGUUCUAAUGUAAGUUUUGUAAUUUUCUUCGCGCUUUUGUAAGCAUUAUUUUCUUUUCAAUUUUGACGGUUUCGCGAAAAUCUUUUAUUAAAGUUAUGAAAAACGCUUUGAAAAUGCGUUAAAGGUGAAACAUUUUACAAUCGUUGGCUCACCACAGCAAGCGGAAAAUUUUGGAGAAAUUCUCGUAUAAAUAGAACGCAGCAUUAACUCGUGAUGUACUUGGUCAGGAUGCCAGCUAAAGUUCCCCGAACGUGUAUAAAGUUGAAACUUGUGAACCGGUCGAAACAGUCCAGUUUCCAAAACACAAAACGAUCAACUUGCUUUGCAAACUUUCGAUUGUCGAACAAAAUAAACACGUGCCUUAUGUCCUUGCAACACAGAUGCUGAAGGAUAGCAGUGAGAGGUGUUUCUAUGGCAACGUGUGCACGUGAUUCUAGGAAUAUAUUGUAACAACUUCAUCUCCGCCUCCUUUCACCAAGAGCACUCUUUUUAAUCCUUCUGUCAUCACUUCAACUAAUUCCAUACCUGAACACACAUUGUUAAGGUAAAUUAUUGAACAUCAUUCAACCGAUUGUCCACGAGGAUAAAGAACAUCAAAGAAGAGUCGGUUUGUUGAAUCAAUUCAUGUUCACAGAUUGUGAAAUGGGUUGAUCAAUGGGAAACAAAUCAGGAUUCAUAGGUAUAAUGAAGUACUAUUAAAGGAUACAGUUAUAGCCACCCGAUUCGUCUCUGAUUGGCGGAGGCAAAUUUAGAAGUAUGAGCUGAGCAUCCAAAGAUUUUUCUUUUAUCAGUUUAUUUAACUUGACGGCGUUGUCCAUUCUUCGUACAUUAAUACGGCUUCUAUAUACAAGAAAAUAGAGAAAUAAAGUCAAUUAUUUAUAUA